rnacentral:lncRNA from 1 species
CUCUUAUCGACGGGGACUGCUCUAAGGUAAUGUGUUCUCUGAGGAAGCUGAGGCUGCACGGUUUGAGCUGGGUGGCCGGCGAUGAUGACACUCCAUACAUAGCACGCGUUAGACUGCUGAUCCGGGUGAUGCGAAUCGUCUGCCCUGCGCAGGACAGCAGACAGCGUGGACUUCUACCACCUUUCCCCGAGCCUCUGAAUAAAGUGUUUAAAUAAC